CCUACGGGAGGCAGCAGUGAGGAAUAUUGGUCAAUGGGCGGGAGCCUGAACCAGCCAAGCCGCGUGAGGGAAGAAAGUACAGCGUAUCGUAAACCUCUUUUGUCAGGGAACAAAGGCGGGGACUAGUCCCCGGAUGAGGGUACCUGAAGAAAAAGCAUCGGCUAACUCCGUGCCAGCAGCCGCGGUAAUACGGAGGAUGCGAGCGUUAUCCGGAUUUAUUGGGGUUAAGGGGUGCGCAGGCGGCUUGUUAAGUCAGCGGUAAAAGCCCGGGGCUAAACCCCGGAGAGCCGUUGAAACUGGCGGGCUGGAGUUGGAGAGAAGGACGCGGAAGGCGCGGUGUAGCGGUGAAAUGCGUAGAUAUCGCGCAGAACCCUGAUGGCGAAGGCAGCGUACCGGCUCCACACUGACGCUGAGGCACGAAGGCGUGGGUAUCGAACAGGAUUAGAUACCCGGGUAGUC
rnacentral:rRNA from 1 species